rnacentral:lncRNA from 1 species
GCAACAAUACCAUAUUUACAUUAGGUCGAUUGGGGAGAGGUUCAGUGCCCAGGGAGUAGGGUUGCGUCCAGGCCACUGAGAGAAAGGGGGCAACGAUGGGUGGGGGGGGGGAAAUUAAGGUCUGGGGGAGCGAUAAUGAAACACGACGGGUUUGGGGGAGGGAGGGGGGAUUUUUUAUUUUUAUUUUUUAUUAUUUUUUAAUUGUCAUUUUUUAGUCCAAUUGUCAUCUUUUAGUUCACAAUGCCAUUUCCGACUGCUACAGUAUUAUUUAUGAC